GGAGUUGGACCAGGAGGGAGCAGUGGCAUUUGCUUGGUGAUUAGGGUUUUGGGUUUGAGUUUGUAGAGGAUGAGAAAAGCGAAAACGAAAAGGAAAAGGAGCAAGAGGAUGAAUGGUAAAUGAAGAUGAAGUGAAGCAAGCUCCAAGGUUUGAGAAUUAUCAGAAUGCAGGAAGAGGAAUGGAUUUGGAAAUGAAGAAGACAUGGUUGAGUUGCAGCUGCUACCCAUCAUCAUUCGUCUCUUGCUGAUCUUCGGUACUAGGAUGCAAAUUAUUUAAUUGUAGGAAUGUAUGAGAAACCUCCCAUACCUUGGCUCUCUCUUUAUAGGCAAAUGGACUUCCACCAUGCAUGCCUUUCACACUUCCACAGUUCCACAUGCAAUAAAAAUGUGAUCAAGUCUCAUCAAUGGUAGGAGCACUCUCGUACAGUCAGAAUCAUGUUAGGUAUUGGUACAACAGACAGGGGUGACAUGGUUUGGUACGAUAAAUAGGUACCAUAUAUUUAAGGACAUAUUUAAGGAAUCCCUUCAACCUUAAUCAAUUUGAUAAUAUAAUAUGAUUGAGUUGUAAUCUCUUGUGAGUGAUCUUAAGAGGAUAAAAUUUGUUCUAACCCAAUAAAAAUGUGAUAAAUUCUCAUCAAAGAUAGGACAAGUCCUUUGGAUGGCAAUAAAUAUGGUGACACACAUUGAGGGAAAACGAGUUGUGUGGUUGAAAAAAUAGCAAUUUUUUUUAAAUAAUUUUGAAAAAUGGUUUUUAAUUAUUUUUAAGAACAAAAUUUAAUUUGAAAACUCAAAAAUUAAAAUAAUUUUCUUGAUUUAUUCUCCUAUGUAGAAUAUAAAUGUUCUUAAAGUAUUUUUUUCAAUUAUUUAAUCUUAAUGCAGAAAACCCACAAAAAAAUAGCUGAAAACAUCUCAAAUUAUUUUUUUAAAAAAAUGAUUCCCAAUUUUUUUUUUUUAAACGAUUCUACUUUCAUAACAAAUUUGAAAAAACUGUUUUCAAACAUAAAUUUUAAAUUUUAAAUUUUUUUUUCCAUUCAUACUAAAUAAACAGAAGCCAGAAGUCCGGAUCCCACCUAGUCAAAGGUGAAGCCUAUCUACCAUUCUCGGUCAUGUUCCGAGACAGAUGGUUGGAAGAAGAAGCAGAAUUUCAUAUUUUUAAAAAAUAAUUAAUUUCAUAUUCAUGCCACACGUUUGGAAGUUUGAAAUUUGAAUGCAACGUAGAUGAUGUAAUAAAAGAAGAAAACGGAAACAUGAUCUCAAUCUGUUAAUUAAACUUCUUAUGAACCAUUUAAUUAAUUUAAAAUUUAGAAAUGUAUUAUUUAGUUGCUUUAAAUUUCAAGUUCUAUUUAAUUAUAGAAUAUUUUUAGUAUUUAUAAUGAAACAUGUAAAAUUUUACUCGUCUAUUUAUUUAAUUUUUUUAAUUAAAUGACAUUUAUAAUUAACAAUAUGUUUUUAUUUUUUAAAAUUAUAAAAAUAUAAGUCAUAUAGGUUCAACGAGUCAGAUCAUACACGGAUCAAUUUCACAUGGUUAAAUAAACAUGUUAAACAUAUCAUAUAUAAGUUAGACGAUAAAUAGAUCAUUUUGAGAUGAUUAAGUAAAUAUGUUAUAUAAUGUUGUAAAGUAUUUCAAAUUCCUAAUUAGUAUAACUUCAUUUUUUAUAAAAACUAUAAUAAAAAAUAUUUUCUAAGUCGAUAUGUUAUUAUAAUAUUAGUUUUCUUUAUAGAAUAAGAAGAAAGAUAUUAGGAAGAUCUUUGUUAUAGAUGAUGAGGAGAAAAAUCAUUAAAUAGAGACAAGGUUUUAAAGGCUAUACGUGAUGGUUAGAGAUGCUUGGUGGAGUCAGAGGAGCUGUGGUUCAAAAUGUAGAUAUAAGAAAUAAGGAAAUAUGACAUAUUUCGAGAACCUAAUUACUAUAUUUAGUUUCGAUCUUCUAUAAUAUUGUCUAUGAUAUAAUGAUUUUUUUUUCAUUUAUGGAUGUAGAUAUGGUUAUUCAAACCAUGAUAAUACCGUGUGUAUUCUUGUGUAAAUUAUUUAUCUUUAUGUUUUUGAGCUAAUACUAUUUGCAUUAAAACUUUCAUUCGUAUGACAAAUGUUAGGGUGAAUUCACAAUAUUUCAACAAACACCAAGAUUUUUUUUACUAUUUCUUUGUGCAAAAUUAAAUAGGUAAUAACAACUAGUAGUAAUAAAUAAAUAAAUUCAUGUAACAAAAAAAUAAAUCAGAUACCAUAAUUUUUACAUGGAAAACCCUCCAAUGCGAAGGGAAAAACCACAAGACCUAAUUUAGUUUAAACUUCCACUAUCAAUAAUAAUGGGUUACACUUGUCUUUUCUAGAAUAAUCUCUAAAGACUGCUAAAUACAUCAAAAGUACAUAUAUACUUGGAUUAUACAAUCUCUCUUGGUAAAAGAAACAAAGAAAAAUUGGAGAAAGUAUACAAAAAAAUAUCGUUACUGUUCACGAGUAGUAACACCAGUUCUCGAGCUCAAAAUCUGAUUUCUAUCGUUCAUAUUGUUUAUACUCGAGUUUUGAACUUUUCCUCCAAAUUUCCACUGGAUCGAACCACAGAUGAAGCAGGAUCAACUUAUUGAUAAAAUCUAGACAGAUGUGUUUUUUUUUCUCUCUUAUCUUCUCUUUGUUUUUUUUUUUUUCUCGAUUUCUUUUUUGUCUUUUUGUUUUUUAAUGUAACUAACUUGGCCCCAAGCAUAUGGGGCCCACUCCCCCACAUACGAGGGAGGCCAACAACAAAUAAAUCAUAAAUGGGUCAACCUGCUAAAUAGCUUAGAUGGAUUGAUUCACGUAUAAAUGGGUUAUAAAAAUUGGCUAAAUAGGAUGAGAAAAGCGAAAAGGAAAAGGAAGAUGAGCAAGAAAAUGAACAGUCAAUGCAGGAAUUCGAAGUAAAGCAAGCUCUAAGGUUUCAGAAUUAUGAGAGAGCAGAAAGAGUAAUGGAUUUGGAUAUGAAGAAGGCGUGGUUGAGGUGCAGCCGCUAGUCAUCAGCAUUGGUCUCUUUCUGAUCUUCAGUACUAGGAUGAAAAUUAAUUAAUGGUAGGCAUGCAUUAGAAAUCUCCCGUACAUUUGCUCCCUUUACAGGCAACAUGCAGACCUCCCACAUGCUACAUGCAAUAAAAAUGUGAUCAAUUCUCGUCAUGAACAGAACAGCUUCUUUUGGAUGGUCAAGAUGUUAGGUUUUGGUACAAUUCACGUAGUGCAAUUAUAGAAGACACGUGUCAAAUUUUGGGUUGAUUUCAUUUAUAUUUAAAAUUUAGGAUUAAUUUCAUCCGCGUCCCAAUAAUGUAGUGUAAAUAUAUUAAGCUAUUUUAAUUUUAAAUUUUAUUAAUUAACACCCCUAAAAAUGCAUUUUAUUUUUAAAUUUUAAUUUUUAUAGAAUAAAACUUGAUUUUUAGAAAAUUAUUAAACACAUCUUCCUAAAAUAGUUUUAUUUAAAAUUUGUAUAAAAAAUUAAAAUUUGUAUAAAAAAUUAAAAUUUUUAUAAAUUCAUGAAACUUGAAGUCGAUGACUUAAUUGAAUAUAUUUGCACCAAUCAUGAAGUUUUGAGAAGAAAAAAGUCAAUCCCAUUACUUUUUCGAGACAUGUAUAGAUAAUGUACAAGUAACUUAUCAUAUGACGGUUAAUUUCAUUCACCUCUCCUAAUGUUUUGAUUAAAUAUAUCUAAUUUUGAUUAAUUUGAAAUUUAUCACAUACUUUUCUUAUUUUGAACGAAAGAGGAUGUGAGUGAAAAUAAGAAAUGAUAAGGAUAAGAAAGAUAUUUAAGGAAAUUUCAAACCAAUAAAAUGUAUAUGUAUUUAGUCAAACCAUGAAAAAGAGAUGAAUAAAUUAACCCUUAUGCUUAAUUCAUAAUUAUAUAAUUAAAGUUUCAAGUGGGAUUUUGAAAAAAAUAAUAUUGUAAUUUCAAAAAAUGUUUUUAAAAAUAUAACAAUGCAGAAAAUAUUUUUAAAUAUAUUGUACUCGAGAAGAGUUUGAUUAGGAGUUGUUUUUUAAGAAAAACAAAUUCAAUUAAAUUUUGAAAUUGUUUUUGAAAAGACAACUUCAUUAUUUAAAACCAUAUUCCAUGAUCGAAUCAAUAAUUUCUAAUCAACAUAUCAUGAUCUAAAUAUGCAAAAAUUGAUUCAUGGAUCAAAUUUCAAGGAAACUAAUUAUUAUAAAAUCUAAGCCUCAAAACUUUGGAUCAGAACACCGGGAAUUUAUCAAAAAAUAAUAUAAUAAAAUAUAUAUUUAAAACAAUAUUUGAACCUAAUAUAUUCUCAAAACUAUUUUUGGAUUAUAAAAUUAUUGCAUUGAUAAGAAUAUCAUGCAUGACAACAUUUAAUAUCAAAAUUUAAUAAUAAGACAUAUUAUUUUUAUAUAAUUCAAAAUUUUCUAAACAUAAAAAAAAAAAAAACACGUCUCCCAGUACUAAAUGAAAUGAACCGAAGCUCAGGCUCAGCUAAAUCCACCACAUCAUCAUUCAUAUGCCGCUCUGGUUUGAACCUUAAUGGCUCUUCCCAAACUCUGGGGUUCCGCCCAAGCCCUACCCGGCUCAGCAGGACAUGGCUGCCUUUCGGAAUGAAGUAGCCGGCUACAACAGCAUCCGCCAUGGACAAAUGGGGGACAUUGAAUGGUGCCAUGGGGUGAAGCCGCAGAGCUUCUCUCCCAAAGGCCUUAACAUAUUUGAGCUGCUAUUUCAAUCAUCAGUUCCUGCCAAAUUGUAUUUAGUUAGCCAUUGGACCAUCAGAUCAAAGAAAAACCUUAUAAUACAUAGAGCUAAAUUCUCAAUAUGAUUUGGGCUUUGAUCUCUUCUACUGAAAGCAAUGGCUCUCCCUUUGAGUCCCUACUUGUGAUACAAACGUCGACUAUGUCCUCAACCUCCUUUUUCUCCCCAUUCCUCCAUUAUAUUAUUCUCUCAUCCACUAUCGGAUCAUGAUGCUUGUUGAUGAUGCUCAAAGCCUCUUUUACCAUCUUCUGAUGUCCAUCUAAGUCGAAGACUCUCAGACAUGAGAGGUAGUCAGAUGGAGAGAAUGCAUGUAGGUAAGCAAGCGAAGUAAAGAGGAAGUUGACAUGUUCUUCUUCUUCAAGUCCAGGUCCUCCACCUAACCUUCCUUCACCAAAGUAUCUUCUGCUGAACAUCAUCUUCCUAACGAUAUUUCCUGUGUAUUGUCUGACUGCAUUUCUCACAUUCACAACUGAUGAAUCCAUGAAAUUAUCAGUACUAGUAGAGGAUUUACACUGGUUAUAAAUGAAGCGGACAAGAUUGUCGGCUUCUUCAGUUCUCUUCUGGAGAAGUCACAUAUGUCUCUCCUGCUUAUGCACCUCAGAAGUGAGGAUACUUCUCAUCUUCUUCCACUGCUCUCCCCAUGGCGAAAGGACUGUGGUCAAGAAUCUGCUCAAGUGAUGGGACUCCAUUGGAAUAGGUCAGGAUGCAAACACUGCAUCAUGUUUCUUCAAAAACUCCCUUCCAAUCUCAGGCGAAAUCACGGGAAUGACAUGGACAUUGCCCAGUUUGAUGCAUGCGAUCUCAUUGUUCAGUUCUUCCUAAAGCCCAAGUAUCCACCGGAAUGCCGGCCUUUUUUGUGAAUAAUUCAGGCAGGUUCCCAACUAGGCCAUGGAGCUGGACCAGGAGGGAGCAGUGGCAUUUGCUUGGUGAUUAGGGUUUUGGGUUUGAGUUUGUAGAGGAUGAGAAAAGCGAAGAGGAAAAGGAAAAGGAGCAAGAAGAUGAAUGGUAAAUGAGGAUGAAGUGAAUCCAAGGUUUCAGAAUUAUGAGAGAGCAGGAAGAGUAACGGAUUUGGAAAUGAAGAAGCCAUGGUUGAGUUGCAGCUGCUACUCAUCAUCAUUUUUCUCUUGCUGAUGUUAAGGUGCAGAACAAUGGAGUCUGGAUCCCUCCGAAUCCUAAUCCUAAGACCCAUCGAAAAUGUGAAGGUACCAUUCUCCCACACUAAUAUUAUUUAUUUCUAAAGUGAUGUCGAUUAGGGAGGAAACUUCCGAAAGAAAUAAUAUUGAAGAGUUGCUUCUUACGCAUGAAAUGAAGAAGCAAACUUUUUAUUGAAGAAAAACAUUCUCUCUUUUAUGAAAAGAACAUUUCAAUCUCUUACUAUCACUUUCAAUAAAAACAUGACAAAUUCUCAUCAAAGACAGGACCACUUCUUUGGACAGCAAUAAAUAUGCUGUCACACAUCGACAGAAAACAACUUGGGUGUUUUAAAAAAUACUUUUCAAUUAUUUUCAAGAAUUUCAUAUUAAAAUAAUAAUGAUAAUUAAUUAAUUUUACAUCCGAUCCCACUACUUCAAAAAUAUCAUUGAAUAUGAAUGCAUGACGUAAAGGUUUGGAAGUAUGAUUGCAUGUAGAUGACGUAAUAAAAGAAGAAAAAGGGAAAAAAAAACCUACAAAUCAAUUUAAAGUAAAAUAUAUUUUUUUAAAUUUUUCUAUUUUAUACAUUGAUAUCUUCUUUCAUGUAUAAUAUGUUGGAAUUUAUAUAUGUAAAUGGAAAUUAGGAUUUUUUUUUAUUUUUUUUGAAAAACAUGUUUGUUAAUAAAUACAAUUUAUUUUAAAUAACGUAUCUUGUACAACUUCUUCUAAAAGAUGUGUUUGUUGUUUUAAGACACGACCCUUUAAAAGAUGUUUAGUAUUUUAAAGGCACAUCUCUUUUAAAUGUUAUCAUCAAAUCUAUAAAUAGGGACUCUCAUGACAUAUUAAUUCAUCAAUUCUUUUCAUUUUUUCUUCUUUUUACCAAAUAUUUGGUAUUUAAGAAAGUACAAAUUAUUAAGUGAUUCACUAUUUCUCAUGAUUUGAAGUGCUAUUAUCAUAAAAAAAAAUGAUCAUUAUAUCCUAAGAGACAAUUGCCCAUAAAUAAUAAGCACCUGAGUGAGACAAAUUCGUCUUAAAGUCAUAGAGUCAAACUAUCAAUCUUAUUUGUGAGUUUCGAUUUUCUAUUUCAUUUUAUUUAUAUAUUUAUUAUACACACUUAUUGUCCAUAUAUUUUCAAUGAUCUGGAUAACAUAAUAUUUAUUUUUUCAUAUUCAACGGUUUUAAAUAGUGUUAUACAUAUCUAGGAGUUGAAUUCAUUUUUAACUCCAAAUUUUAAGAUAUGGGGGAAUUGGUCCAAUAGGUUCAAAAUUUAUAUACCAAUGUAGCGAUCCCAAUUCCCACAUAAUAAGAGAAAAAUAAAAUACCAUUAAAAUAUCUUUAAUAAUAACUUCCUAUCUAUCAUAUAUACUGGUGGGAUUUUUCCAUAAAUUAAUUUAUGAUUAAAAAAAAGUAUUUUGUGGUAGGAUUUUUUUUUUGCAAAAAAAAUUAUUUGUAGCAAGUUUGUUAUUAUAAGUCCAUGAAUAUCUGGUAUCCACAUAGUUAUAAUAAAAGAUCGAAGCUUAUCAUCUAUAGUUAAUAAAAGAUCGAAGCUUAUCAUCUAUAAUAAUAAACUGAUAUAAUAAGGUAGAUGAUUGACCAUCAUCCUAGGAGUCUUUUCUUAAUCAAUUUGAUAAUAUCAUAUAGUUAAUUACAAUGGAAUCUAUUUGUAAUCAAUAUGAUGUUACCUUAUUAACGAUUAUCUUAACAAUGAAGUCUUUUUUUUAAUAAUUUUGAUAAUUACAAUGUAAUCUCUUUGUAGUCAAUUGAUAACAUCAUAUGACUUUAGAGGUCUAGGUUAGAUGAAAUAUAUGGAAAAAAAACUACUCAAAAUUUGGUCAAUGCAAUACCAAGACCCGUACAUUGAUCCUUUUUAUCAGGUAAAGGAUACCUAAUCCAUUGAAGAACCUCAUUUAAAGACUUGUAGUUGAUUAUAAGUCCUGAGGCACCUCUUUCAAUCUCAGCAAAUGCCCAAAUGGAACAGUGAAUGCAAUCUUAUAUUUAUCUUUUUCUUCACUUUUAAUUUUUCAAAAUCCUGAUUUUAAAUCAAAUUUUGAAAAGAUUAAAGCAUUAUGAAGGCAACCAAUAAAAUCCCUUUUAUUACUUAAAGGAUACCUAAUCCAUUGAAGAACCUCAUUUAAAGGCUUGUAGUUGAUUACAAAUCUUGGGCCACCUGGAACUCCCUUACUAACUCAACUCUAUCCUUUUAUGAUGAAUUUCUUCUAAUUAAUGAAAGUUCUUCAUUAUAUGAUAGUUCUUCUUCACAAUCAUCAUGUGAUUGUAUGAAAAACUGAAGUAUCAACUAUGUGUCAAACAUGAAUGGAGUGUGAUGCCUUUGGUCAUUAAAUUUGGUUACAAUUCCUUCAUCACUUACUCAAUUGGUUUGGUUGUGCCUUGGUAAAUUUCAAAUCUUAAGAAUUUAAUCCUGCUUUGAAAUAGUUUGAUCUUAGGGGUAGAAAUUACUAGUCCAUUAUCUUUGACAAUUUUUUGAAAGAUUUUUAUAUGCUUGAAGUGUUGAUCAAUAGAAUUUAAAAAUAUAAGAACAUCAUCAAUAUAUAUAAUGGUAAAGCUUGUAUAGGGAUUGAAAAUGUUAUUAACCAUGAUCUUAACAAUGAAGUCUUUUUUUAAUCAUUUUGAUAAUUACAAUGCUUGAUAACAUCAUAUGACUUUAGAGGUCUAAGUUAGAUGACCCAUUAAAAUACGUCAUGUUUGGGGUGGAAUAUUAUGUCAACGAUUUUAAAAAGAAAUAUAUCAUAUGACAAAAAAGUGGGUUUUGAAAAUUUCACUCAUUAACAAGAGAUUCUAAAAAGGAAUUUUAAAAUUUUAUCAAAUGUCUAAGGUUCUAAGAAAGCAAUUCCAAACAUUAAGAAGUACUACUUAUGACCUCUUUCAAAAUCAAAUGCGUAAUGUAAAGUUGGACAACGUUUGUGAACAUAUUUAGGAGUCAACUCAGAAGUUUAGGAUAGAAGAGUCAACUUAGAAGGAUGUAAGAUUUAAAUAUUGACGUCAUAUACACUUCAAUGAAAGGAAAAAAGGAAAAAAAGAAAAAAGGAAAAAAAAAAAAAAAAAGAAAAACCCACUUCAAAUCAAUUAAAAUACAAAUAUUUUUUAUAAUAUAUAUAUUUAAAAUUUUAUAUUAUAUUUGGUGUAAAAAACAUUUUCUAGUUUUUAUUUUCUAAAAAUUAUUUUAUUUUAUCUUUUUUUAUUAAUUAUUUAAGAAAAUAAAAUUUAUAAAAUCUUACUUGGUUUUGAGUUUUUAUUAAUGUAAAAAAUGGUUUAGAAAAUAUAAUUAAAAUUUUAUAUAAUACACAUGUUAUUAUAUAAAGUAUAUUAUUAUAUUACAUUUAUUUAUUAUUCUUUUUAUUUUUAGAAAUACCUUUAUAGCUUCUCACUAUUAUAAAAUUAAAAUAUCAAGGACACAAACUUUUAGCUUUAACAACACAUAAUAUGAUUUUUAUAGUUUCUGAGAUAAAACAAAUAAAAAUUAUGAUAAUAAAAGUGAAAUAUAAUGACAUAUCAUUUUUCAUACAUCUUUGUAUCCCCAAAGCAUCAUGUGAUAAGCGGAGAAGAAAAGAAAAUUGGAUGAGAGCAUUUAUCUUUAUUAACUCAUAAAUCCUUAUUUAUAGGCUCUACUCAUCAAGCGCCGGAAUGGAUGAAGUUUUAAUCAAUUCCCAUACAUGGAAGCAGGCAAGCGUGGUUUUGCAUGAGCAUGGAGAGGCUUGGCUAGAAAGAGCUCGUUCAUUGAUUCUGUGAGGUCAAUUUGGUCCUGGUUCGGUGGCACACUCCACGAAAAACAUUGAAGGAGUCUCGCCAAGAGUGUAACUGUCAAGGCUGUCCCUAAGGCAGUUCCAGGACACCCGCGUCUCCCAGUACUAAAUGAAAUGAACCGAAGCUCAGGCUCAGCUAAAUCCACCACUUCAUCAUUCAUAUGCCGCUCUGGUUUAAACUUUAAUGGCUCUUCCCACACUCUAGGGUUCCGUCCAAGCCCUACCCGGCUCAGCAGGACAUGGCUGCCUUUGGGGAUGAAGUAGCCGGCCACAACAGCGUCCGCCAUGGACACAUGGGGCACGUUGAAUGGUGCUAUGGGGUGAAGUCGCAGAGCUUCCCUAGCACAGGCUUUAACAUAUUUGAGCUGCGCGAUAUCGGAUUCUUGAACAAGUCUAUCCUUUCCAACCACUCUAUCGAUUUCUUCUACGGCCUUCUGCAUAAUCUCGGGUUGAUCGAUCAUUUCUGCCAUUGCCCACUCAGCUGCAUGCGCUGGAUUGUCCACUAUUUCAAUCAUCAGUUCCUGCCAGAUUGUAUAUAGUUAAUAUAUAUUGAACCCCAAAGAGAAGAACUUCAGAAUAUAUAUACGAAAUUAAGAUAACAUAUUAGAGCUAAAUUCUCACUAUGAGUUGGGCUUUGAUCUCUUCUACUGAUAGCAAUGGUUUUCCCUUUGUGUCCCUGAUUGUAAGGAAAACAUCGAGUGUGUCCUCAACCUCCUUCUUCUCCCCAUUCCUCCAUUUCAUUAUUCUCUCAUCCAAUAUCGGAUCAUGAUGCUUGUUGAUGAUGCUCAAAGCGUCUUUUACCAUCGUCUCAUGGCCAUCUAAGUCGAAGACUCUCAGGCAUGGAAGGUAAUCAGAUGGAGAGAAUGAAUAUAGGUAAGCAAGCGAAGUAAAGAGGGAGUUGACGUGUUCUUCUUCUUCAAGUCCAGGCCCUCCAUCUUUCCUUACUUCCCCAAAGUACCUUCUGCUGAACAUCAUCUUCCUAACCACAUUUCCUGUGUAUUGUCUGACUGCAUUUCUCACAUUCACAACCGAUGAGUCCGUAAAAUUAUGGCUAGUAAUACUAGAGAACUUACACUGGUUAUAAAUGAAUCGGACAAGAUUGUCGGCUUCUUCAGUUCUCUUCUGGAGGAGCGAAAUAUGUCUUUCUGGCUUAAGCACCUCAGAAAUGAUGAUCCUUCUCAUCUUCUUCCACUGCUCUCCCCAUGGAGAAAGAGCUGUUGUCAGGAACCCUCUGCUCAAGUGAUGGGACGCCAUUGUAAUAGGUCUGGAUGCAAACACUGCAUCAUGUUUCUUCAAAAACUCCCUGGCAAUCUCAGGCGAAAUCACGGGAAUGACAUGGACAUUGCCCAGUUUGAUGCAUGCAAUCUCAGUGUUGAGUUCCUCCAAAAGUCCAAGUAUCCACCGGAAUACCGGCUUUUUUGUGAAUAAUUCAGGCAGGUUCCCAACUAAUGGCCAUGGAGUUGGACCAGGAGGGAGCAGUGGCAUUUGCUUGGUGAUUAGGGUUUUGGGUUUGAGUUUGUAGAGGAUGAGAAAAGCGACAACGAAAAGGACAAGGAGCAAGAGGAUGAAUGGUAAAUGAAGAUGAAGUGAAGCAAGCUCCAAGGUUUCGGAAUGAUCAGAAUGCAGGAAGAGGAAUGGAUUUGGAAAUGAAGAAGACAUGGUUGAGUUGCAGCUGCUACCCAUCAUCAUUCGUCUCUUGCUGAUCUUCGGUACUAGGAUGCA
rnacentral:lncRNA from 1 species